GUCAAGUGAAUAAGAGCACGUGGUGGAUGCCUUGGCAAUGAUAGGCGACGAAGGACGUGAUAGCCUGCGAUAAGCUUCGGGGAGCUGGCAAAUUAGCUUUGAUCCGGAGAUUUCCGAAUGGGGAAACCCACCGAAAGGUAUCGCAUGAUGAAUACAUAGUCAUGCGAGGCGAACCGGGUGAACUGAAACAUCUCAGUAGCUCGAGGAAAAGACAUCAACCGAGAUUCCGAAAGUAGUGGCGAGCGAAAUCGGAGAAGCCUGUUAGUGAUAGCACAAGACAUAACGGAACAGCUUGGAAAGGCUGGCCAUAGCGGGUGAUAGCCCCGUACGUGAAAUGACCUGUGUGGUACUGAGCUAACGACAAGUAGGGCGGGACACGAGAAAUCCUGUCUGAAUAUGGGGGGACCAUCCUCCAAGGCUAAAUACUCAUCAUUGACCGAUAGCGAACUAGUACCGUGAGGGAAAGGCGAAAAGAACCCCGGGAGGGGAGUGAAAUAGAUCCUGAAACCGCGUGCUUACAAAAAGUAGGAGCCUCGUAAGGGGUGACUGCGUACCUUUUGUAUAAUGGGUCAGCGACUUACAUUCAGUGGCAAGGUUAACCGAAUAGGGAAGCCGUAGAGAAAUCGAGUCCGAAUAGGGCGAUCAGUCGCUGGGUGUAGACCCGAAACCAAGUGAUCUAUCCAUGGCCAGGAUGAAGGUGCCGUAACAGGUACUGGAGGUCCGAACCGACUAGUGUUGCAAAACUAGCGGAUGAGCUGUGGAUAGGGGUGAAAGGCUAAACAAACUUGGAAAUAGCUGGUUCUCUCCGAAAACUAUUUAGGUAGUGCCUCAAGUAUUACCAUCGGGGGUAGAGCACUGUUUUGGCUAGGGGGUCAUGGCGACUUACCAAACCAAGGCAAACUCCGAAUACCGAUGAGUACAGCUUGGGAGACAGAGCACCGGGUGCUAACGUCCGGACUCAAGAGGGAAACAACCCAGACCGCCAGCUAAGGUCCCUAAAAUUGGCUAAGUGGGAAACGAAGUGGGAAGGCUAAAACAGUCAGGAUGUUGGCUUAGAAGCAGCCAUCAUUUAAAGAAAGCGUAAUAGCUCACUGAUCGAGUCGUCCUGCGCGGAAGAUGUAACGGGGCUAAGCCAGUUACCGAAGCUGCGGAUUUGCAAUUUAUUGCAAGUGGUAGGAGAGCGUUCUGUAAGCCUGUGAAGGUGCGUUGUAAAGCGUGCUGGAGGUAUCAGAAGUGCGAAUGCUGACAUGAGUAGCGUUAAAGGGGGUGAAAAGCCCCCUCGCCGUAAGCGCAAGGUUUUCUACGCAACGUUCAUCGGCGUAGAGUGAGUCGGCCCCUAAGGCGAGGCAGAGAUGCGUAGCUGAUGGGAAACAGGUCAAUAUUCCUGUACCGAUGUGUAGUGCGAUGUGGGGACGGAGAAGGUUAGCUCAGCCGGGUGUUGGAUGUCCCGGUUCAAGCCUGUAGUCAUAUUUGGUAGGCAAAUCCGCCAGAUUUAGAUGAGGGGUGAUAACGAGGAAGCUUGCUUCCGAAGUGAGUGAUACCCUGCUUCCAGGAAAAGCCACUAAGCUUCAGCUACACACGACCGUACCGCAAACCGACACUGGUGCGCGAGAUGAGUAUUCUAAGGCGCUUGAGAGAACUCAGGAGAAGGAACUCGGCAAAUUGACACCGUAACUUCGGAAGAAGGUGUGCCCUAUUAGUGUGUAGUGAACAACGAAGCACGAAUGGGUUGCAAAAAAUCGGUGGCUGCGACUGUUUAUUAAAAACACAGCACUCUGCAAACACGAAAGUGGACGUAUAGGGUGUGACGCCUGCCCGGUGCUGGAAGAUUAAAUGAUGGGGUGCAAGCUCUUGAUUGAAGUCCCAGUAAACGGCGGCCGUAACUAUAACGGUCCUAAGGUAGCGAAAUUCCUUGUCGGGUA
rnacentral:rRNA from 1 species